GAUGAACGCUCGCUACAGGCUUAACACAUGCAAGUCGCGGGGCAGCAUGGGGGUUGCUUGCCAUCCCCGAUGGCGACCGGCGCACGGGUGAGUAACGCGUAUCUAACCUGCCCUUCACCACGGGAUAACCCGGCGAAAGUCGGACUAAUACCGUAUGUUGUCCAUUGACGGCAUCCGAUUUGGACGAAAGGCUUGGCGGUGAGGGAUGGGGAUGCGUCCGAUUAGCCAGACGGCGGGGUAACGGCCCACCGUGGCUACGAUCGGUAGGGGUUCUGAGAGGAAGGUCCCCCACACUGGAACUGAGACACGGUCCAGACUCCUACGGGAGGCAGCAGUGAGGAAUAUUGGUCAAUGGGCGUAAGCCUGAACCAGCCAAGUAGCGUGCAGGAUGACGGCCCUAUGGGUUGUAAACUGCUUUUAUGCGGGGAUAAAGUGGCCCACGUGUGGGCUUUUGCAGGUACCGCAUGAAUAAGGACCGGCUAAUUCCGUG
rnacentral:rRNA from 1 species